AAAAAGAAAAAAGAAGUCUUUUAUCACCUUCUCUCUGCAAGAAGCGAUAAACGUCACCCCCUUCGUCGGAACGGAGAGAUGCGAGAGAACGCCGACGAACGUCUUAAUCGGAAUCUGCUGGAAAGUCGGAUUCAUGCCCUAAUCAGGAAGCAGUGGCCUUAUCCAGGUUUGGUUGCCAUUGCCGAGAGAAUGAGCACUGUUUAGCACAAAGAUUUUGGUAGGAGCACUUUCUCUGGCGGCACAAGACAUCGGAUAUAUUAUUCAUAACUCCACGACUGCUUCUGGAUAAUAGAGCUGUUAGUAGCAGUGGAGAGAGCAACAUCAGAAUACACUUCCUCCCUGAAAUUUAUCGAAGAGCCACAAGCGGAAGAGAAACGAUCCUGUACAUUACCACAAGCCAACCGUGUGUGGAAGCCAGGUGCUUUAGCAGUCUAUCCAGGUUGGAAAAGUUAUAUGGAACAGAGGAUAAGCUUCUGAGUUGAUGCACAGUUUCCAUGAGUUAUAUGAUAUAUGCACUUCUGCGGUUAUACAAGCGAGCAACAAGAACUUGUGGGGUUGGAAGUUACAUUAGUGAAGAAAUAUCCAAGAUGGUUGGAGCCUUCUCUGAGAACAAAGCCUUUGGGAUCAGUGUGAACAAGCUUGGUGGAGAUAUCUGCAGACGGAUUUGGGAAACGAUGCACUUGAUAAACAACUUUUUGGUACUAAACCAGAGGAUAUAGAGACGCCAUGACAUGUUUCCAGGCUGUUGUAUCUUACAUGAAACCAGAAAUGCUGUCAAAGGUUUAAGGAGUUCUAUGAUGGAGGGUGGUUAUUGUUGGAAUCUCUGCUCGUUGAGAGUCAAAUGGGAGUGAGAGUGACAGUGUUUUAUUGUCCAGAGAAUCACAGUUUACUACGGUUCAAGGAGCUUGGAAUAGCGCACAUCGUGAUACUACCGAAGUUUCGUGGCAAGAGUUCACAUGGUUCAAGCAAGACGUUGAAGCCGAUUUUGAGAUGUGUUACUUGAAGAUGUUCUUAUGGUGAAGCAACUGAUCAGUAAACCGCCGAAGGACGAAACCAAGUCGAGACCUCGUACAAAGAAUCCGUAUCUUCUCAAAGCUGAUACGCGUAGUGGUGUUGAAAUUGAAAACAGAGAUGAGUAUCUACCGCUAUCGAUCAUGCUGAGUAUCCUUGAGCUUGCCAAGGCUAUGCCUUUCCUUUCCAAAACACAUCCAAAGCAAGCUGAAACCGUGAACGAGCACAUUCACAUAGAAACAGCUUGUUGGAUAUUAUUGCAUACCUGGCAUGGACGACAUGAUCAUAUGAACAACAUAGUCACUUGUUUUAAGUUCAGUACAGCUCGUUCUACAGAUGCGAUGGGGAGUUUCUUUGUCUUUCAAGUGUUUCAUCCUUCACGACUCCCAGAGUUAUUACCUGUGGCCCAAUGGAUUCUUGGGUUGGGCAGUUGAUUGGUUAGUUUCGUAAGUUCGACUUUAGUAGGUACAUUAUGCUGAAGAAGUGGCUAGGAACCUUACAUCAAGCUGGGAAAAAUAAUUACAGGUCUAAAGAUUUGUUAGAGUAUGAUAAGUGGCUGAAGCAAGGGAAAUUUCUACUUCUUCAUACUCUAUCCAAGUGCCAUGAAGUUUGUUGUUUAAAAUAGAGAUAGUCUCUGCAAAUAAUAUUGGAAAUUGGGGGAAAGCUUGCGGCAAUGAUUCAAAUCCAAAUGCUGCUGCAAGUGCAGAGAUCCAGCCAACUCUCCAGUGCUGGUGUGACAGUUUUUGGAUCUUGAGCUGUAAUUGUGGUUGACGUCGACUGGGGAGAGAUUGAUUACCUCGUGGUUGAUGCCCCACCAGGAACGUGGACGACCAAAUCUUCAUCGUCCAAUACCUUCAUCAUUGUCACGACCCCACAAGAAGUCUCCUUGAUCGAUGUCAGGAAGAAGUGAGCUUUUAUAAGAAGAUGUGCUUGCCCAUCAUGACGAUGAUCAAGAAGAUGAUUAUGGCAGAAACGUUUGCACCGAAGAAGUUGCUUGUUUAGAUGAUGAAUCCUAUGCUAGAGCUCUUAAGGAAGCUGAAGAAAAUGGAUAUAGCAGAUAGAUUGUCUGCCUUAUCUGAGUUAGCAGAUCGUGGGUGGACUUAUUGUUAUCUCUCAAAUUCUCUUUGAUGGGCUUCUGGAAUUGGUUUGGGAUUUUAUGCGUACUGUAGAAGAUCUGGAGGAUGGGGAUCAUACUUCUGAUCAGGUAGGCCCCUUCACUACUACAAAACCGUUUUUGGAUCUUGAUCUGUAAAUCAUUUUUUUGUGAUUGACAAUAUGAACCUUUUUGCUCAGCAUGUGAAAAGAACCAAAGUGCAAAGUUGUGACAUAGAACCUGCCAUUGUCGAAAUACAUCGUACAUGGCUCCAUCUAUCUACUAUCCUUGUGUCAUGACUCAUGGUAAUAGUUGGUUUUGUUUUGUA